GUCCCCAUCGUCUAGUGGCCUAGGACACCGGCUUUUCACGCCGGCAGCCGGGGUUCGACUCCCCGUGGGGACGCCA
rnacentral:tRNA from 1 species